rnacentral:rRNA from 1 species
GUCCACGCCCUAAACGAUGUCAACUGGUUGUCGGGGAAGCAAUUCCUUGGUAACGAAGCUAACGCGUGAAGUUGACCGCCUGGGGAGUACGGCCGCAAGGUUAAAACUCAAAGGAAUUGACGGGGACCCGCACAAGCGGUGGAUUAUGUGGAUUAAUUCGAUGCAACGCGAAAACCUUACCUACCCUUGACAUGUACGGAACCUCGCAGAGAUGUGAGGGUGCCCGAAAGGGAGCCGUAACACAGGUGCUGCAUGGCUGUCGU